UAAAGUCUGGCCUGCCCACUGGGAUCAAACUAAAGGGCCGCGGUAUUUUAACCGUGCGAAGGUAGCAUAGUCACUAGUCUCUUAAUUGGAGGCUUGUAUGAAUGGUUGGACAAGAAGUAAGUUGUCUCAAGUACAAAAAUUGAAUUUGACUUUUAAGUGAAAAGGCUUAAAUAUUUUAAAG
rnacentral:rRNA from 1 species